GAAAGUAAUGAAGGGCGUACGGUGGAUGCCUAGGCUCUUACAGGCGAUGAAGGACGUGAUAAGCUGCGAAAAGCCGCGGUGAGGCGCAAAUGGCCCUUGACCCGCGGAUCUCCGAAUGGGACAACCCAAUAUCUUGAAGAGAUAUUAUCCCGCCGAUGCGGGAGGCGAACGCGGGGAACUGAAACAUCUUAGUACCCGCAGGAAAAGAAAAUAAAGAAUGAUUCCCCCAGUAGUGGCGAGCGACCGGGGAAGAGCCCAAACCGACGUUGUCUCGGCAUCGUCGGGGUUGUAGGACCGCGCCAUCGCAAGAAAGGCCGUGAGUGGAAGCGACUGGAAAGCCGCGCCAUAGAGGGUGACAGCCCCUUACACGAAGCAGCCCGAAGCGUAGCGGACUCCUGAGUAGCGCGGGACACGAGUAAUCCUGUGUGAAUCCGCCGGGCCCAUCCGGCAAGGCUAAAUACUCGUAAGAGACCGAUAGUGAACCAGUACCGUGAGGGAAAGGUGAAAAGUACCCCUUGCAGGGGAGUGAAAGAGUUCCUGAAACCGUACGCCUACAAGCGGUCGGAGCAUCUUGAAUGAUGUGACGGCGUGCCUUUUGCAUAAUGAACCUACGAGUUGCCGUCACCAGCGAGGUUAAGUGCGAUGACGCACCGAGCCGCAGCGGAAGCGAGUCUUAAAAUGGCGCGAUAGUUGGUGGAGGCAGACGCGAAACCGAGUGAUCUACACUUGUCCAGGAUGAAGUCCCGGUAACACGGGAUGGAGGUCCGCACCAAUAAGCGUUGAAAAGCUUCUGGAUGAGGUGAGUGUAGGAGUGAAAGGCCAAUCAAACUCGGAGAUAGCUCGUACUCCCCGAAAGGCAUUUAGGUGCCGCCUGUGGCGUUCCCGACGUGAGGUAGAGCGACUGAUAGGAUGCGAGGGCUUCACCGCCUAUCAAGUCCUGACAAACUCCGAAUGCACGUCGGCCAAGCCAUGGAGUAAGGGCAUGGGUGCUAAGGUCCGUGCCCGAGAGGAGAAGAAUCCAGACCACCGGCUAAGGUCCCGAAAUACUGGUUAAGUUAGACUAACGCAGUCCGGCCCCCAAGACAGCUAGGAUGUUGGCUUGGAAGCAGCCAUUCAUUCAAAGAGUGCGUAACAGCUCACUAGUCGAGGAGCUGGGCGUGGAUAAUAAUCGGGUAUGAAACCAGUUACCGAAGCCGUGGGAUGCUUAAGCAUCGGUAGGGGAGCAUUGCAUGCGGCUUAGAAGGCGGGGCGCGAGCCCCUCUGGAGCGCAUGGAAACGCAAAUGUAGGUAUAAGUAACGACAAGGGGGGUGGGAUGCCCCCCCGCCGAAAGACCAAGGUUUCCUGAACAACGCUAAUCGGUUCAGGGUCAGUCGGGUCCUAAGCAUAAGCCGUAUGGCGAGGGCGAUGGACGAAACGGUUAAUAUUCCGUUACUGUCUUGGUGUGUGACGCGGCGACGGAGUAGUGACACGGCCGCCUCCUGACGGAAAAGGAGGUUGAAGCGCAAAGGUGUCGAGGAAGGCAGGCAAAUCCACCUUCCGAGCCGAAGCGCGAAAGUACGCCGGGCCCUUUGGGGCAAGGCGAUAGUGCCGGUAAUCAGACUUCCAAGAAAACCCGCUAAACUUCAGCACCAAGUCACCCGUACUCCAAACGGACACACGUGGUCGGGUAGAAUAUACUAAGGCGCUUGGGAGAUUCACGGUUAAGGAACUAGGCAAAUUGACCCCGUACCUUCGGAAUAAGGGGUCCUCGCUUUUGCGAGGCGCAGAGAAUAGGUCCAGGCAACUGUUUAACAAAAACACAGGGCUGUGCAAAUUUGAAAGAAGAAGUAUACAGCCUGACACCUGCCCGGUGCCGGAAGGUUAAGAGGAGAGCUCAUCAGCGAUGAGAAGGCUUGAAUUGAAGCCCCGGUAAACGGCGGCCGUAACUAUAACGGUCCUAAGGUAGCGAAAUUCCUUGUCGGGUAAGUUC
rnacentral:rRNA from 1 species